rnacentral:rRNA from 2 species
ACUAACAAGGAUCCCCUAGUAACGGCGAGUGAAGCGGGAUGAGCUCAAGCUUAAAAUCUCUGUGCAAGUUUUGCAUGGCGAAUUGUAGUCUAUAGAGGCGAUGUCAGUGCAGCUAUUUGGGGUAAGUUCCUUGGAAGAGGACAGCAUCGAGGGUGAUACUCCCGUUUGUACCCGAGUAGCUUGUGCGUACGACACGUUUUCUUUGAGUCGCGUUGUUUGGGAAUGCAGCGCAAAGUAGGUGGUAAAUUCCAUCUAAAGCUAAAUAUUGGUGCGAGACCGAUAGCGAACAAGUACCGUGAGGGAAAGAUGAAAAGAACUUUGAAAAGAGAGUUAAAGAGUACCUGAAACUGCUGAAAGGGAAUCGAAUCGUUUCCAGUGUCUAUAAUCCAAUGCAUAUUUCAUUGUGGACUUGUUGCGUGCAGUGCGUAGGAAGUAGUUUAUUCUGCUCCUUGUAUUGUUGUGCGAUGUGUUGAUGGUGCCCUGUGUGUUGGUGGGACGUCAGAGUCAGUUCGUAUGCUGCGGGAAAUGGCUGUCGAGGAGGUAGGCUGAGCGCUUGCGUUUAGCUGUUAUAUCUUGGCGUGCUAGUGGUCGUGGUUGGGACUGAGGUGCCUACAACGUGCUUUAAAGUCUUGUGGGGUCUCAUGUGAUAACGUGCUAGGAUAGCUUGCUAUGUUGGUGUGUUUAUUGUGUGAUUGAUGCUGUUUGUAACUUUUGCCGUUCGGGACUUUGACGA